rnacentral:rRNA from 1 species
UACAGAGGGUGCGAGCGUUGUCCGGAAUCACUGGGCGUAAAGGGCGCGUAGGCGGCUUGAUAAGGUUGCGGUGAAAGCCCGGGGCUCAACCCCGGGUCGGCCGUGGCAACUGUCGAGCUGGAGCACUGUAGAGGCAGGUGGAAUUCCGGGUGUAGCGGUGAAAUGCGUAGAGAUCCGGAAGAACACCGGUGGCGAAGGCGGCCUGCUGGGCAGUGGCUGACGCUGAGGCGCGACAGCGUGGGGAGCAAACAGG